UCAUUUCCCAGGACAAGUUUCUCGAGGCUGAGCUUAUGUUCUCUUACCUUCUCCAGCACAAUCAGAUUCAGCCUGAUGCAGCUAUCUUUACAACCAUCAUUGACGGCCUCUGCAAAAUAGGCAACACUUCCCGAGCUAUGAGGUUGCUUAGAUACAUGGAGAAGAAAGGUUGUAUGCCGAGCCUAGUGACUUACACCACUAUUAUUGAUAGUUUGUCCAAAGACAGAUUAGUCGAUGAUGCUUUGGGUCUCCUUGCUGAAAUGAGUGACAAAGGCAUUCAACCAGAUGUUGUAACCUACAGCUCUUUAAUUCAUGGCAUGUGCAACCUCAAUCGGUGGGAUGAUAUAACACAAUUGUUAAAAGAUAUGGACAGACACAAAAUUUCUCCAAAUAAGCAUACCUACAGUAUAUUGGUUGAUGCACAUGCCAGAGAUGGAAAGGUCAAAGAUGCUGAACAUUUUAUAGAGUUGAUGAUUCAAAGAGGCCAACAUCCUGAUGUAGUCACCUACAGUGCACUUAUGGAUGGAUACUGCUUGAGAGGAGAAUUGGAUAAAGCGUUUGCAGUGCUCAGUACCAUGAUAAGUAAGGGGAUUUUUCCUGACACUCAGACCUAUACCAUAUUGAUCAAUGGUUAUUGUAAGAAGAUGAAAGUAGACACAGCGAUACAUCUCUUAGAAGAAAUGACCCUGAAAGGUUUAACACCUACAGUUGAAACGUACAAUACUAUUCUGGAUGGGUUAUUUCGUGCGCGUAGGCUUAAUGAAGCACAUAAGUUUUAUAAGAAUAUGUUAAAUCAAGGUGUUAAACUGAAUAUAGUGACAUGCAGGAUCUUGUUGCAUGGACUUUGCUGCAAUGGACUUGCUGGUGAAGCAAUGUCCGUGUUUCAUGACAUGGAGUCAUGUGGCUUACUUCCUGAUAUACACAUUUAUAAUAUUCUGAUUCAUGGAUUGUUCAAGGACGGCAAGGUUGACGAGGCAAGAAACCUUCUUCAUAAUGUUCGUUUGAAGGGUUUACACCCUGAUUUCAUAUCUUACAACAUUAUGAUCCAAGGAUUCUGUCAAGAGGGGUUGCUGGAAGAAGCAUAUAAAAUACUUUUGGAAAUGGAAGAAAACAAUUGCUUGCCUAAUGAAGUUACAUACAACACUCUUAUCCGUGGAUGCUUUAAGAAUAAGAAGUAUGAUGGAGCUUGUGUACUUGUAGAUGAGAUGUUUGCUCAUGGUUUCAAAGCAGAUGGCUCUACCACCUCCAUGCUAUUUGAUUUGCUGCAAUCGAAGGAGCAGGACCCCGCACUCCUUGCUAUGAAGAAGAAGUUCAUGCCUUGACUACAUCAAGGAAAGAGUUUUGUAAGCUACAAAGUACUUCUAAAUCGUUCUAACUUUGUAAUUGUUUGCUACGAAAUUUGAAGUCAAUAGAAAUUUGAAGUAAAGCUUUUGCCCUUAUCUUCAGUGCUGUUAUAUAGAAACCUUUUUAACCCUCAUGCUUAACACUUCACCUAAACAUAAAGUCUAACAUAUCCGUGCUUGUAUUAUCCUGAGACUCUGUGAGACCAUGUAUUAAUGCUACAAUCCAACAUUAUGAAAAUUGUUGUUACUCUGAAUAUUGUUGAAAUGUGGUAUGAAAAAUUGUGAUUCUGCAACAUAUAUUUCUCAUUCCUUCACUACCUGAUCCUAGUCCCAGUAUUCAAUCCCCAUAUAUUCCUUCUUCAUCUAUACCUCAUUUGAAGCUUCAGCAGUUACUUCAUUAGGAAUAUGAGGUUUGUUUUGAUAUUAACUAUUCUUAUGUGAUUGACUUCAAUCAACUGUUAUCCGCCAUCUUUAAGACAUAACAAUACACUGUUGCUGUUUCUUUUUAGUGAUACUUGUACUUUCUCCAUUCCAGUUGAUCUAUAUACCAUUAAUACCGUCAUUAAUUAUUGUUGUCAAUUGAAUAGAGUUUAGUAUGCCUUUUCAUGAAGCGUCUUCUUUUGCCAAAUGUUGUUACCUGCACCAUUCUGUAUCGGGGGUUAUCUCCCAUGACAAACCUCCGGAGGUUGAGCACUGGUCUGAGAAGCUCAGCAUAAUCAGACUAAUUAAACCUGGUGUUGUGCAUUAUUGAAAUAUAUGAAGAUGAAAGGUUGUAUACCCAAUAUUAGUAACUUUAGGAAUUAGCAGUUUCAGUUUUAUCUUUAACUGAUAUAUAGGUUGUGUUAGGCUGGCCAUUAGCAGUUUCCGCUAUGAAAUUAGCUAUGAUCCUGAAUGCCCCUAUACUCCUGCUUCAUCUAUACCUCAUUCGCAACUUAACAGUUAAUUUAUAAGCUAUUGAACUUGAAUUAAGAGUGCUACUUGAAUCAGUUUCACUGUUUCUUAAUCGGUUCAGGGUGUUUUUCUUUUCCUUAAAAUUUUCAUAUCUAUUAUAUCUCAAACAUUUACAUAUGAAAAUCUGUCCAAAACAAAAAAACAUUUACAUGUGAAAAGCAUAUAUACAAUAAAAACCAGAAAAAAAUGAUAUUUUUAAAUUUGCAAGAGCAUCCCCAAUAAAGUAUGUGAUAUAUUGAUACUCAUCUUUUUUUUUUGUUUAACUUUCUUAUUAUUAUGUAUUAAUUUUUUCAAUUUUUUUCUCAGAUUUUUUCUUAUACAAACACGACUUAAAUAAAAAUAAUAAUAUAAUAAAAUGUGACAAUACAAAAAUAUGUGUAUUUAUACACAUAUUUAGACAUUUGAAUACAUAUUUACUCUUAUACAUUUGGAAAGAAAAGUUNGAGCACUGGUCUGAGAAGCUCAGCAUAAUCAGACUAAUUAAACCUGGUGUUGUGCAUUAUUGAAAUAUAUGAAGAUGAAAGGUUGUAUACCCAAUAUUAGUAACUUUAGGAAUUAGCAGUUUCAGUUUUAUCUUUAACUGAUAUAUAGGUUGUGUUAGGCUGGCCAUUAGCAGUUUCCGCUAUGAAAUUAGCUAUGAUCCUGAAUGCCCCUAUACUCCUGCUUCAUCUAUACCUCAUUCGCAACUUAACAGUUAAUUUAUAAGCUAUUGAACUUGAAUUAAGAGUGCUACUUGAAUCAGUUUCACUGUUUCUUAAUCGGUUCAGGGUGUUUUUCUUUUCCUUAAAAUUUUCAUAUCUAUUAUAUCUCAAACAUUUACAUAUGAAAAUCUGUCCAAAACAAAAAAACAUUUACAUGUGAAAAGCAUAUAUACAAUAAAAACCAGAAAAAAAUGAUAUUUUUAAAUUUGCAAGAGCAUCCCCAAUAAAGUAUGUGAUAUAUUGAUACUCAUCUUUUUUUUUUGUUUAACUUUCUUAUUAUUAUGUAUUAAUUUUUUCAAUUUUUUUCUCAGAUUUUUUCUUAUACAAACACGACUUAAAUAAAAAUAAUAAUAUAAUAAAAUGUGACAAUACAAAAAUAUGUGUAUUUAUACACAUAUUUAGACAUUUGAAUACAUAUUUACUCUUAUACAUUUGGAAAGAAAAGUUAUACUCCGACAAUCAUAAGAAAAUGAAAAAUUCUUUGAAAUACACAUAAUGAGGCCGUUUAGGUUAACUUAAAAGAAGUGAAUUAUUGCUUGAAGUAAAAAAGUUGAGUAGAAGUGAGAAGUAAAUAAAUAGUUAUAAGUUGUUGAAGUGUUUGCAAAAGAAAUAGAAGUUAUAAAGAGAAGUGGCAUUUUCUAUUUCCAACUUCUUUCUUACGAUUUUUUAAAAAUACUUUUUACUUUUUUACAUAAACUAGUCAAGUAAAGCAGAAGUAAGAAGUAGUUUCGGCUUCCCUCUCCCAAACUGGGGCAAUGACAACUAAGAAAUGAAGAAUUCUUCGAAAUAUACAUCGUGAUGAAUAAACAUCUUAGUCAAAUUACAGUAUCAUCUCCUGAUUAUUAAUAUUUUUAUCGUUAUCAUGAGUGUUGUCAUAUAGAAACCUCUAAAAACUAAAACCUUCAUGCUUAAGGCUUUUACUAAAUAAAUCCGGUAUUCCAAAAGAUAAAGUACAUUCAGACUUACUACAAGUUAUUUUGAGUUCUUCCAUAUAGAAACCUCCAAAAAACUAAAAACCUCAUAUUUAAGGCUUCCACCAAACAAAUCCGAUAUUCCACAAUAUGAAAUACACUGUUGCUGUUCAUUUUUACGGAAACUUGUAGUUUCUCCAUUCCAGUUGAUCUAUAUACCAUUAAUACCGUCAUUAAAUAUUGUUGUCAAUUGAAUAGAGUUUAUUAUGCUUUUUCGUGAAGCGUCUUCUUUUGCCAAAUGUUGUUACCUACACCAUUCUCUAUAGGGGGUUAUCUCCCAUGACAAACUUCUGGAGGUUGAGCACUGGUUUGAGAAGUUCAGCAUAAUCAGACUAAUUGUUAUUAAGUCUAACACAUCUGUGCUUGCAUUAUCCUGCGACUCCGCGAGAUGAAUCAAGAGAGCAGGAUUCAAGUGCUCCUUGAAUCAAUUCACUGUUUCUCGGAUCAGGGUUUUAUAUAUUAGUGGUACUUUUGUUUUCAUUGAUGCAUAUAUAAAAUGCAUCAGAUUUAACCUCUGUUUCUUUCGUCAUCUUUAAUUGAAUAUUAGUGACCUUGGUCAGAAUUAAAUAGUGUUCCAUUUUUCUAUCCCUCUGUUGUGAUAUGUGUGUUUUCUCCAUUAACGUUGAUUUGUUUAGUAUUGCAGUAAUGUCAUAAUGUGUUAAUGUGAUAUCCCUUGAAGGUUUAACACCUACUGUUGAAACUUACGGUAUUAUUUUGGAUUCAUUCUGAUUCAUGGAUUUCUCAAGGAGGGGAAAGUUGACGAGGCUAUAAACCUUUUUCAUAGUCUUCCUUUGAAGGGUUUACGCCCUACAGUGAUAUCCUACAACUUUAUGAUCAAAUAAUUGCUGGAAGAAGCAUAUAAAAUGCUUUUGGAAUUGAAAGAAAAUAAUUGCUUGCCUAAUGAAGUUACAAUACUACACUUUUAUCCGUGGCUGCUUUAAGAAUAAGAUGUAUGAUGGAGGUUAUGUGCUGAUAGAUGAGAUUUGUGCUCAUGGUUUUAAAGCAGAUGCCUCUACCACCUCCAUGCUAUUCGACUUGCUGCAUUCAAAAGAGCAGAUGCCUCUACCACCUCCAUGCCUUGAGUACAUCAAGGAGAGAGUGAAUUAUGGUACAAAAUACUUUUAAAAUGCCAGGACUUACUAAUAAUUUGUUACAAACUUUGACGUCAAUAGCAAUUGUGAUAUUGGAGUUGAUAAUAUGUAAUUUUGUUGAAUAUCAGCUUUGCAAAUGGUGUCUGGGUUGUAUUUGCAUUAUUUGACAAAAUGAAAAGAAUGAUAAAGCUUGUGUUUUUUCUUCGACCAAAUGCAGGAAGCUGGGUUCUCUGGAGAUGCAUACCACCAGUAUAUUACAUUACAAGACCUGUACGGAACAAAUUACCUGGACCCUUCUACUCUUGCUUUGCGGUGAAAAUUUUGUCAUGGGUACUGCAAUCUCAUGACGCAAACACUCUGCAGCAUUAUUAUUUACUUGCAUUACAUUGUAAGUUUGUCUUUUAUUUCUGGCAGGCUGCUAAGACUUAACUUAAUUACUGUAGGGCUAACAUGUAGUUGCAUAAUGGUGUCUUGAGUGCAGCAAAUGUGAAGUACACCAACAUUUCCAUUUAUUUCCAUUUAUUUAUUGAUGUAUUAGUUAUUUGUAUUAUAUAUUCUAUUCGUUGUCUCUUUGCCAUUUCUUCAUUUCUUCACUACCUGAUCCUAAUCCCAGUAUUCAAAUCCCCCUAUAUUCCUUCAUCAAUGCCUCAUUUGCAGCUUCAGCAGUUACUUCAUUCGGAAUAUGAGGUUUGUUUUGAUUAACUAUUCUUGUGUGAUUGACUUCAAUCAACUGUUAUCCGCCAUCGUUGAAACAUAACCAUACACUGUUGCUGUUUCUUUUUACUGAUACUUGUAGUUUCUCCAUUCCAGUUGAUCUAUAUACCAUUAAUACCGUCAUUAAUUAUUGUUGUCAAUUGAAUAGAGUUUAUUAUGCUUUUUCAUGAAGCGUCUUCUUUUGCCAAAUGUUGUUACCUACACCAUUCUCUAUAGGGGGUUAUCUCCCAUGACAAACUUCUGGAGGUUGAGCACUGGUUCGAGAAGCUCAGCAUAAUCAGACUAAUUGAACCUGGUAUUGUUCCAUUAUUGAUAGGUUGCAACAAACCUAUCAAUAUGGACCUCCACUCUUGCAAGUUCAAUAAAUUCUUCUCAACGUCUUAUUUUUGCAAGUACCAGAGUGCCCACCUCAGGAGCUUACAUGAUUUUCAUGGACCACCAUAUACUUGUGAUUUAGGCCUCAUUUGUUAACGAGUGAACGAGACAGAUAUAGCUGGACGAGAAAAAGGUUAGCUAUUCAGAUUGUUUGUUGCUGUCGUAAUUCAACUGAACGACUGGAAAAUUCGCUGGACGAAAGAGGCUACAUAACUUCGCUGGAUGGUUCAUAUAUCUUGCUUGUGUAAGUGUGUUGAUGAAUAUGUGUGCUAAUUUAACAUAUAAUUGCUUUAUAUAAUAACUUCUUAUAUUAUAAUAUAUUUAUGAUUAUAAAAUUAAUAAAAUAAAUAGUUAAUUUUAAUUAACAAUAUUUGAAUCUUAUAAAAUAGUGGCUUAUAUAUUAACACAUCGAUUAUUAUUUUAAAAGAAAUGCAUUUAUUAUUAUAUAGAGAUAAUUGAUAAGAAAUUUGUAUUGUAAAUUUUUUUCAUGUUAAUUUAAUGAAUUAUCCAUUAUAAAUCUUAUUUUCUAAUAAAAAUAAUUAUUAAAUAAAUUUAAUAUAUAAUUUUAAGUCAUUCAGAUUUAAUUUAACAAAUGAUUCAAAAAUACAAUCAUCCAGAUAUUUACUCAUUCAGAAUUUUCAUUCAUCCAGAAAAUAUGAUCCAGAUUUAACAAAUGACCCCUUAAUCGUCACAAGUGUAUCUUUGACCGAUACAUGGGUUGUGUUAGGCUGCUCAUUAGGAGGUUCAAAAAUCAUCCUUUUUUUUUCAAAUUUUAAAUAUGUUAUUUAUAAUAUAUAUGACGUUGUAUUUAUUAUAUACUAGAUUCACGUUUCAUAUGUAUUAGAUAAUAGAAUUUGUAAUAAAACUAAGAAUUUAUAGUGACUUACCACGAAACUCCAUAAAAAACUAUAAAUUAUAUAUAUAUUGAAUUAUUAUAUUUUACAAAUUCUAUGAAAUAUGAAUUAUGUUGAAUAUUAAACUAAGGGAGUUGAAGGUGUAUUCGUCGUGAUUUUAAUAGAUUAAUUUAUGAAUGUUAAUAGAUUGUAUGUGAUUUUGGGCGGAUUCUUAAUAAAAUGUCGUUUAACUGGUAUAGUUUUGUUAGGAUUUAAGCACAAUACUUUAAAAUAUUAUAUAUUUUGGUGGAAUUUCAAAAAGUUCAAAAUAUACCGACCAUAUAUCAUUUUAUGAAGUUCAAAAAAAUCUAUCAGUAUCCGAAUACCAUCACAUUUCAAUGGAUUUUAAAAAAUCCCAAUUGAAUACCGUUAGAUUUUAUAGCAUAAUUGAAAAUCCGAUUAAAUACCACCAUAUAUUGUAGAUAUAAAAUUCCAAUUGAAUACCACGAAUGAAAAAUCUUUAAAAAUCCCAAUUAAAUACACCUGUUAAAUAUAAUUUCGCUUAUUUAUAAACACUCUAAAAUCAUCAAUAUACUUAUAUAAAGGAGAAGCGAGGGGCGUGUAGGUGGCGCCUCUCACAUCGCUCCGUUCUAUUUUUCUAAAUUUCUGGAAUUUUUGGAUGAAAAAUAUCAAAAAUUAGAACUACCUUUUUUAGUUUCGGGUAUAUUAUAAGCAAGUUUCAGAAUCUGAUUUUGUUUCAGAUUAUUUAUGGAAUAUAGUAGUUUGAAAGUUUUAAUCUGAUUUUGUUUUAGAUUAUUUAAUUAUGGGAAAAAGUAGCACAUAAGUCUUUCUGCACCUAUAAAUACCCCGGUAGAUCGUAGGUUUUUGAAUCAUCUAAAUACAACCUCCUCUCUCUCAAUACCACAACCCUACCUCUCUAAUGAUAGUUCGCUUGCUUGAUUUCUAACUCGGUGGUGCUAUUCUUCUGCAACAAUAAGUGAAGGCUCUUUAUAUAGUAUUAAAAAAAUAAAGGUUGUUGCAAGCAAAGGUAGUUUUAGACCGCUAUGCGGGAGUCGACAAAUUCAAACAUGGGAAAAGAAUAUAGUCUUGACAUGAUAUUGAUGGAUGAUAUCAAUAAAUUAACUAUUAGUGAUGUAUGUUUAUUGGUUAUUCUUUUAUAAUAUUUGUUUUGUUCAUCGGACAUGUUUGUUGUUGUUAAUUUUUAUAUGAUUUAUUUUUUAUACAUGAAAAUAUGGUGGAGAAGCGAGGGGCGUGUAGGUGGCGCCUCUCACAUCGCUCCGUUCUAUUUUUAUAAUUUUUUGGAAUUUUUGGAUGAAAAAUAUCAAAAAUUAGAACUACCUUUUUUGGUUUCGGGUAUAUUGCAAGAAAAUUUCAGAAUCUGAUUUUGUUUCAGAUUAUUUAUGGAAUAUAGUAGCUUAAAAGUUUUAAUCUGAUUUUGUUUCAGAUUAUUUAAUUAUGAGAAAGAGUAGCACACAAGUAUCUCUGCACCUAUAAAUACCCAUAUAGAUUGUAGGGUUUUGGAUCAUCUAAACACAACCUACUCUCACUCAAUACUACAACCUCACAGAUUUAAGUUGAAUGUUUUUGUGCACAAUCAAUCCAAAAAAUAGUAGCUUAAAAGUUUUAAUCUGAUUUUGUUUCAGAUUAUUUAAUUAUGAGAAAGAGUAGCACACAAGUAUCUCUGCAUCUAUAAAUACCCAUAUAGAUUGUAGGGUUUUGGAUCAUCUAAACACAACCUACUCUCACUCAAUAUUACAACCUCACAGAUUUAAGUUAGAUGUUUUUGUGCACAAUCAAUCCAAAAAAAUUGGAGAAAGGUGACAAUUUAAAAACAUAAUUUCUUUUCAAAAAAAAAAACACAAAUAAAAUUAAGAUUCGUCGUGCUUUAAAUUGUUAAUUACGUGUAUAAAUUUAUUUUCAUUUUUUCACCAUGAAUUAUAGUCCAAUUUUGCAAUUUUAUAUAUUAGUAUUGGUAUUACAUCAAGAUUUUUAUAAUAUAAAAUAUAUUUAUCCUACAAAUAUUAAUUUUGAAACAUUAAUAUACUUUUUAUAGACAUCCACAAAAUUAUUUUAUUCUACAAAUAUUAAUAUUGAAUCAUUAAUAUAAUUUUUAUAAGCCGCCGCAACGCGCGGCUUCUCAACUAGUAAUAACUAAGAGCAAGUGCGAUAGGUUAACUAUUUCCUUGUAUAAUACUAUGAAAUAGUGAAUCUUAGAUUUAGAAGAUCAACUUUUAGUGUCAACUCCUAUAGAAAUUCUUAUUUUUGUUCCCUAUUAUUAUUUUAACAAUAAAUUUUAGGAAAAGAAGGAAGAAAUGAGAGAAAAGAUAAAAAAAAAAAGAAAUAAAUUGUUUAUUCAUAAAUAUUAAAUAUAUAAUGAUUAGAGAUUACCUAAAAUAGGUAAUAAUUAGAAAAUUUGGAAAUGCGCUAAUAAUUUAGAUAAUCAGCAUAUAAUGGUGGACACUGAUACAUUACCCAAAUAUAAAUAUAGAACCUCAUUUAGAUAUAUCAUUGUUCAUAUUAUUUUUAAUUAACUAAGCAAACAUCCCAUUUUUAAUGUUCCAUAUGUUUUUUAUAUGUCAUUUUUGACUUGAGCACGCACUUUUAGGUUAGUAGACUAGAUGUUAAUUAUUAUUAUUUUUAAUUAAUUUUUUUGUGAAAUAAAAUUUGAAUUACAUAAUUUUUCAUAGAAAAAACAUUCAAAAAUAAUAUUUUUAACUGUUCGGUCAAAACAAUUAAAAAAUACUAUGUAUCACAAGUUAAAACGUCUUAUAUCAAAAAUAGAGGGAGUAUAAUUGGAGGGGGAGAGCAUUAUUAAAGUCGAAUACAGAAAAAGGGAAAGUAAGUGAGAGAGUGAGGAGGAUGAUGAUGUCGAGAAUGAGAAGCGCUUUCACUGCUUGCUUCACUUCAGACGCUGUUUGUGACAAGGGCUUUCUUGGAUUUCUCAGACAUGGUACUCCUGCUCUUACUACUGCUAGUUCUUCUUGUCGUGUUAUUACACUUUCUCAAUCCUCCACUUGCCCUAACCCUAAUCACAUACCCAAUCAUCUUUCGGAAUUUGACCAAUUACUGUUGGAGAAAUCUAGAGUUGGUUUUGAUAAGCUCGAUGAUGCUCUUCGAGUGUUUGAUAAAAUGCUCCGUAUGAAGCCUCUUCCUAUUGUCAUGAAAUUUAAUCAACUCUUGGCCGCCCUUGUCAAGAUGAAACAUUACUCCGCGGCUGUCUCCGUCUUUUCAAAGAUGUGCACUUUUAACAUUGCUGUUGAUAUAGUUACUUAUAGUAUUGUAAUCAACUGUUGUUGCCAUUUGAAACGCGUUGAUUAUGGCUUUGCGCUGUUGGCUGCCAUCUUUAAGCGUGGUUUUGUCCCUACUAUCGUUACCUACACAACUCUUGUUAGGGGACUCAUAUCCCAGGAUAGGUUUCUUGAGGCUGAGCUUAUGUUCAAGAACCUUCUCAAGUACAAUGAGAUUCAGCCCAAUGCAGUUAUUUUUAACACCAUCAUUGACGGCCUCUGCAAAACUGGCAACACUUCCCAGGCUAUGAUGUUGCUUAGAUACAUGGAGAAGAAAGGUUGUAUGCCGAACGUUGUAAAUUAUAACACUAUUAUUGAUGGUUUGUCCAAAGACAGAUUAGUCGAUGAUGCUCUGGGUCUUCUUGCCGAAAUGAGAGACAAAGGCAUUCAACCAGAUGUUGUAACCUACAGCUCACUAAUUCUAGGUCUGUGCAACUUUAACCGAUGGGAUGAUAUAACACAAUUGUUAAAAGAUAUGGACAAACACAAAAUUUCUCCAGAUAAGCAUACUUAUAAUAUAUUGAUUGAUGCACAUGCCAGAGAUGGAAAGGUCAAAGAUGCUGAAUAUCUAAUAGAGUUAAUGAUUCGAAGAGGCCAACCUGCGGAUGUAGUCACAUAUAAUACGCUAAUGGAUGGAUACUGCUUGAGAGGAGAGUUGGAUAAAGCGUUAGCAGUGCUCAGAAUCAUGAGAAAUGAGGGGAUUUUCCCCGAUGCUCAUACCUAUACCAUAUUGAUCAAUGGUUAUUGUAAAAAGAUGAAAGUAGACACAGCCAUACAUCUCUUAGAAGAAAUGACCCUGAAAGGUUUAACACCUGCAAUCGAAACGUACAAUACUAUUCUAGAUGGGUUAUUUCGUGCGCGUAGGCUUGAUGAAGCACAUAAGUUUUAUAAGAAGAUGUUAAACCAAGGUGUUAAACGGAAUGUAGUGACAUGCAGGAUCUUGUUGCAUGGACUUUGCUGGAAUGGACUUGUUGUUGAAGCAAUGUCCGUGUUUCACAAGAUGGAGUCAUGUGGUUUAGUUCCUGACAUACAAAUUUAUUCUAUUCUGAUUCAUGGAUUGUUCAAGAAUGGCAAGGUUGACGAGGCAAGAAACCUUUUUCAAACUAUUCUUUUCAAGGGUUUACGGCCUAGUGUCAUAUCUUACAACAUUAUGAUCCAAGGAUUCUGUCAAGAGGGGUUGCUGGAAGAAGCAUAUAAUAUACUCUUGGAAAUGGAAGAAAACAAUUGCUUGCCUGAGGAAGUUACAUACAAUACUCUUAUCCGCGGCUGCUUUAAGAAUAAGAUGUAUGAUGGAGCUUGUGUGCUUAUAGAUGAAAUGUGUGCUCAUGGUUUCAAAGCAGAUGCCUCUACCACCUCCAUGCUAUUUGAUUUGCUGCAAUCGAAGGAGCAGGACCCUGCGCUCCAUGCUUUGCAAAAGAAGUUCAUGCCUUGAGUACAUCAAUGAGAGAGUUUAUUAAGGUACAAAAUACUUUUAAAUUGCCGGAACUUUGUAAUAGUUUGCUACAAUAUUUUAAAUCAAUAGCAAUUGUGAUAUUGGAGUUGAUAAAAUAUUUGAGUUUGUUAAAUAUUUACUUUUGAAGUGGUGGCCGUGUUGUCUUUGCAUCAUUUUGCAAAACGAGAAGUAUGAUAAAGCAUGCAUUUUUUCUUCGGCAAAAUACUAGAAGCUGGGUUCUUAGGGGAUGCAUACCACCUGUGUAUUACGAGACCUACUUGGAACAAAUUAGCUGGAUCCUUCUACUCUUUCUUUUCGUAAAAAGUUUGCCAUGACACUCUGCAGCAUUAUAUUUUACUUGCAUUACAUUGUAAGUUUGUCUUCUAUUUUUGCAGUCGACUACCAGUUAUUUCAAGUACUGUAUGGGUUACAUGUAGUUGCAUAAAGGUGUCUUCAGUGCAGCAAAUGUGAAGUACACCAACAUUUCCAUUUAUUUUGUUGAUAUAUUAGUUCUUAGUAUUAUAUAUUUUAUUCCUUGUCUCUUUGUAAUUUUAAUAUCUCUUCUAAAAUACAGGGAAAUGAUCCAAAAUACUAUCCUCUGUUUUUAAAUUUGUUUUCAUUUUCAAAUAAUUAAUUUUUUUUCAUUUUACUAUGUUCACAAAAUUUUAUAUAAAUUGCCUAAAUUUAAGUUUGUUUAUACGGAAAUACUCUAAGCAACUAAGUAUGAGCCUAUCUGUAACUAUUAUAUAAAACCAUUGCGGAGACGAUGAGAAAGGCUGUCACUACAUCCUCAGUGUCUUACUAUUAUUUACUUUCUCAUUUCUCACAACCUGAUCCUAGUCCCAGUAUUCAAAUCCCCAUAUAUUCCUUCUUCAUCUAUACCUCAUUUGUAGCUUCAGCAGUUACUUCAUAAGGAAUAUGAGGUUUGUUUUGAUAUUAACUAUUCUUUAUGAUUGACUUCAAUCAACUGUUAUCCGCCAUCGCUAAAACAUAACAAUACACUGUUGCUGUUUCUUUUUAGUGAUAUUUGUACAUUCUCCAUUCCAGUUGAUCUAUAUACCAUUAAUACCGUCAUUUAUUAUUGUUGUCAACUGAAUAGAGUUUAUAAUGCUUUUUCAUGAAGUGUCUUCUUUUGCCAAAUGUUAUCUACACCAUACUCUUAGAGCAACUCCAAUGGGGGUACCAUUAAUACACUGUUGCUGUUUCAUGAAGCGUCUUCUUUUGCCAAAUGUUGUUACCUACACCAUACUCUUAAGGGGUUAUCUCUCAUGACAAACCUCUGUAGGUUGAGCACUGGUUCGAGAAGCUCAGCAUAAUCAGACUAAUUGAACCUGGUGUUGUUCCAUUAUUGAUAGGUUGCAACAAACCUAUCAAUAUGGACCUUCCACUCUUGCAAGUUUAAUAAAUAUGUUCUCAACAUCAUAUUUUUGUUUUGGGCUGCUAACAAGCGCUUUUAAGUUCGCAAAGUACCAGAGUGCCCACCCUAGGAGCUUCCAUGAUUUUCAUGGACCAGCAUAUACUUGUGAUUUAAUUGUCACAAUUCUAUUAGUUCUGACCAUUAGAUCCAGGCGUGGCAAAACAGUUAACAGAAGCACCUUCAUAUCCAAAGCUAUUCACGACCCAUGCCAAAAGCCAUUCAUUCAGCAUCUUCCGCAUCUUUCAUUCCAUGAUUUCAAUCAUUAGCUGUUGUUCAUUUUAAUUCCUUUUGCUAAUCCCCAGGGGACCAUUCCAUUUAUCCGUUCUUCUCUCGGAGACCUCUUUUUUAGUUUUGUCUUUGUCAUUGAUUAGCGAUACGUCUACCUGAUCUCCCCAAAUGAACAUGUCAGUAGGAUGGUACAUGCCAAUGUUCGAGUAAAUGCUAUAUACAUACAUAGUUAUAUUCACGUCUCCUGAUUAGCAAAAACGUCCACUUCUUGGGUGAUUCAACUUGUAAAGGUUAGUUUUCUCCAAAAACUUUUUUUUUUUUUUUAUGUUUUUGUUGUGUUCUUUGGUUUGUGUUGCUGAUAAAGAUGAUAGGAUUGAUUGAUGAUCUUUUUGUGCUAAAGUCAAGAUUAUGGGAUGUUUUGUGUUCGUUUGAAGUUUUGGUAUCGAACUAUAUGAUCUCACAAUUGUUGUGAGUUUGACCACUUUAUCUUUAUUUAUAAAUUUAUUUUUAUUGUAUUUACAAGACCACUUUACUUUCAAAUGCAUAAAUAUUAAAGCUUGAUGGUGUUUUUUUUGGGUUUUAUGUGUGUGAACUCUGAUUGUAUUGGUUUCUUUAUUGCUUGAUGUUUUUGUAGAGUUUGGUGCGUGCAGGAGUUGUGAAGAAACUUUGAGGAGUUUUGGGCCAUUCUUGAUUUAGGUCAUUACUAAAUGUGGACCAUAAGGAGUGUUGUCUACAUGAUGGGCUUCUGUGGUCAAGGACUCAAGGUUCUGGGCAACACUUUAAUGGGGACUUUUCAAUGGCUGUAGUUCAAGCUAAUAAUUUACUGGAGGCUCAGAGUCAGCUUGAAUCAGGCUGUCUGAGCUUUAACGAGUCAGGCCUGUAUUGUACUAUUGUAGGAGUUUAUGAUGGACAUUGUGGCCCUGAGACAUUGCCUUUAUCAGUGUUCAACUCUUUCAGCUUCUAAAGAGUAACUAUCUUUUCUUCCAAUAGAGUUUUAAGUCAUUGUAUUGGAUUUGUUAGUUUCUUACAAGAACUAAGAUAUACUAAAUGGACGCAAACUGUAGAUUUUGUUGAAUACUGAUGCUUAUUAUUCGUUUGAACCUUCAUGAUGACCAAAUAAAUGUUGUGGCUUACUUGUUUCGUGCAUGUUUUUGUUUUAGGCGAAACCCUAUUACAUUUGACACGUACCUUAAAAAAAACAUAGGGUGGUUCCAUUCAUGUAUGGGAAACCAAAUAAAAUGAACUUGUAAACAAUUGAGGAAUCAUUGAUGUGUAUGCUUUUAGUCUCUCUUACUUUUCCAUGGGUUUGAGGUUAAGUAUCUAUCUGUGUUUUGCAGAAUUUGCAUCUGAGCAUCAAUCCAUGUCAGAGGAGUUAAUAAGAAAGGCAUUUCAUGCAACAGAAGAGAGUUAUACAUCUAUUAUUCGCAAGCAAUGGCCAAUACAAAUUACAACUUGCCGCAGUCGGGUCCUGUUGCUGGGUUGGAGUGAUAUGCAUGGAAAUCUCUAUAUUGCAAAUCUUGGUGACUCAUGUGCUGUGUUAGGCACACUUGUCAAGCCAAGAGGGGAAGUUCUUGCUAUUCAGCUUUCAGCGGAACAUAAUACGUGCAUCGAGUACGAAGACGAGAGUUGCAUUCUGUUCACCCAGAUGAUCGGCAGAUAGUUGUAAUCAUAUGUAGUUCCUGUCUUCAGGUCCCAGAUCUGUCUUUCAAAAGCCGAGAACAACUCAAAAAAUGUAAGACUCUGAACUUGUAAAUAUAUACUUUUCACUAGCCAUUUGGGCUGCCACAAUGAUGUCUAACACCUUGAAGGCCUCAGUUGUGGUGUUUACCGGAACCGGCUCCAUGGCUAUUCUUCUCAGCCACUAUCAUCCUUCUGGAACUAUUUUUGCCUUUGCAAAUGAGUAAGUUUCACAAUUACAUUCUUAAUUUGAGUAUUGCCCUUACCUUCCUUGAUUGCAGGUGCUGAUUGAAGGUACAUGGAGGUUCCAGUCGGGUCCUGUUGCUGGGUUGGAGUGAUAUGCAUGGAAAUCUCUAUAUUGCAAAUCUUGGUGACUCAUGUGCUGUGUUAGGCACACUUGUCAAGCCAAGAGGGGAAGUUCUUGCUAUUCAGCUUUCAGCGGAACAUAAUACGUGCAUCGAGUACGAAGACGAGAGUUGCAUUCUGUUCACCCAGAUGAUCGGCAGAUAGUUGUAAUCAUAUGUAGUUCCUGUCUUCAGGUCCCAGAUCUGUCUUUCAAAAGCCGAGAACAACUCAAAAAAUGUAAGACUCUGAACUUGUAAAUAUAUACUUUUCACUAGCCAUUUGGGCUGCCACAAUGAUGUCUAACACCUUGAAGGCCUCAGUUGUGGUGUUUACCGGAACCGGCUCCAUGGCUAUUCUUCUCAGCCACUAUCAUCCUUCUGGAACUAUUUUUGCCUUUGCAAAUGAGUAAGUUUCACAAUUACAUUCUUAAUUUGAGUAUUGCCCUUACCUUCCUUGAUUGCAGGUGCUGAUUGAAGGUACAUGGAGGUUCCAGUUAGUAUUUAAAGUUGAAAGAAACAGGCACCUGCCCUGUAAAUUUAUCCUGGGUUUCUUUUGACUGGUUUCAGAGGUUAUGGACAAACUGGCAAAGGAGGAUAUUUUAACUAAAUGCGGAACAAAUGCUUACAUUAUUAAUAAGCUGAAGGUUUUUUAUAUAUAACUUAUGUUUCUAUUUAUUUCCUUGUUAGUUUUCCUUUCGUGAUCCUCACUGUCAUGGAAACAACAGUUCCAGAAAUCUGACUAUGAAUUUGAAGCUGUCAAAGAGGAAAAUUAUGGCCAGAUAUUUCGAAAUGGCAGUAAAGUUCAGCCAAACAUGGAUGAGGAUCAUAUGUGCAUGAGAUAAAUGUAGACCAACUAUAUUUGACUUGUAUAUAUUUUCUUUUUUAGGGGCGAAGUGUUUCUCUUCUGCUAACUAAGUACGGGAUCCAGUAACUAAUUAGCUUCUAUUCUUGUUUAUGUAUGUAUCCUCUCUACUGAAAACUCUUACUUCCAAUUUUUUUAAAGCUCCUUUAAGUUCUGGUUAAUGAGUUUUUGCAAGUUUUCAAUUUUACCUACAUAUGUGAGUCAAGAUAGAAAAUAAGUCUGAGAAGAAUGCAUAAAUUAUUUUUAGUUGUAAUCUAAUUUAUAAUUGCAGAUCUCAUAUGUUUUUGUAUAAGCUUUCUUGUAAGACUAUAAAUUUGUUUUAUCAAAUAUUUGUGUGGGAGUUAAUUUAUAGUGAUAAACAUAAUGUGAUGUCACCUAUCCUUUACCUUAUAGAAUAGUAGCGGUGAUCGCGGUGCGGGCGGUGCAGUUUUUCGCUAAAACCGCGAACCAAACCGCAUUGAAAACUCAAACCGAACUGCACCACGCUACAAAAAAACCGUAUAAACCGCAUCACAAAAAUGCGGUGCGGUUUGUAUGAAGAAUAAAUAUUUUUAGUUGAAGUCAUAAAAAAAAUUGAAUAUAUGAUAAUUAAAACCUUUUCUUGUAAUGAAUUCAUAUAAUAUUUAUCAUUUCAGAGCUGCAACAACUACUAAAAUAACACAAACAAAAGUGUAAAUAUAAUAAUAAAUAUAAAUACUAACUACUAAGAGACAUAUUAUUGUAAUAUAUUCAUAUCAUACUAAUUUGGUAUAAUAGUAAUGCAAGAUUGAUAAAAUAAUAAUUAAUUAUUAUUUGAAGAGAUUUAACAAAUAUAUGGAACAUAAUUAUAAAUAAUAUAUAUGUAUAUAAUAUAAUUUUAUUUGAUAAUCAUUAAUAUAUAUAUAUAUAUAUAGGCUCAUGAUCAAAUAGAAACCACUCUUAAAAUAAAAACUAGAAACCAGUUUACCUACCACUAUUUAUAACUACGGGUAUCACUAAUUUAUACUGCACUAAUCACUGUUUUUAUACAGUAUGUAAACAUCGAUUUUUCUUAUCAAAAUUGAGAAAAUCUACUUAUCAAAAUUAUUGAUAAUCGAUUAUAGAUGAUUAAUUUCAUCCGUAUGAAGGUUCUUGGUGGUAGGUUGCCGCAAGAGAAGUUGUAUGAUGAUAGUAAGUAGUCGUUAGUUUUGUAUGUUAUGAUGGAAAGUGUAUGUGACUAUUGGUGAUGAUAGACAAUAGUGGCAAGUCAUAGAAACGUUUGGUAAUGGUGGUAAGAGGUCCAUUAUUACGAUUUGGGUGAAGAUGAUGGUCAUAUACGUUGCAUAUAUGUGUAUAUAUAUAUUUAUAUUCGCGUGAUAUGAUAUAUAUAAAUUAGUGAUAUGUUAUGUACAAAUUAGUGAAUUCUGUAGUUAAAAAUAGUGAUAAAAAACUGUCCAAAAACUGGUUUUUAGUUUUUAGGCUAUUUUGGUUUCUAUUGGAGUAGGACUCUAUAUAUAUAUAUAUAUAUAUGUAUGUAUGUAUGUAUGUAUGUAUGUAUGUAUGUAUGUAUGUAUGUAUGUAUGUAUNNNNNNNNNNNNNNNNNNNNNNNNNNNNNNNNNNNNNNNNNNNNNNNNNNNNNNNNNNNNNNNNNNNNNNNNNNNNNNNNNNNNNNNNNNNNNNNNNNNNNNNNNNNUAUAUAUAUUAUAAUAUUGCGGUGCGGUGCAGUUUGAACCACACUACUAAUAUGUCAAACCGCAACCCGCACCGCACCGCGUGGUUUGUGAAAAAUACAAACCGCAACCGCACCACGAAAAUUAAAAACCGCGUUUUGUGGUGCGGUGCGGGCGGUUUACGCGGUUUGGACGGUUUUUUGAUCACCCCUAUAGAAUAGUAUUGCUCAAUUAUUUUACAAUCACUUGUAGGUAUUUUUAUCACGCUCUUGCAAUGGACUACAUUACUGUUUCCAUGUUUCACAACAAGCUCGAAGUAGAGAAGUAGAAGUCAACCAUACCACUGUGCACAAACUAAUUGAUAAGAUGACAAAAGAAGGGUUUGACGAAGCUCAAAGCAAUAGAAGACUUGGUGUGAAAAUGGAGCAUUAAAAUUACAUUUGGUGCAUGAAUCAGAUUUGUUGAUCGAUAUUUACAUAUUCCUUUUAUUUUUGUAGGCAAGCCGGUGAUCAAUCCUUAUUUAACUGAGAAAAAAUUGCAUGAAGUCGAGAAAAACAAACUUGAACCUUAAUUAGAUGGUGGAAGUUCUGUAGGCACAUUACAACGCAAGUUUCUAUAAUUUUCUUGUGAACAGAUUUUUAAUAUGAAAAUUAUGUUGAUAGGAGCUAAAAGAGCUCUAAAGGAAGAUGAACCACUUAAAACCUCAGACAAUUGUUACAUAAUUGAUCAAAUUAUUUCUCCUCUAACUUGAACAGAAUGAUUCACUACUUUAACUCUUUAGUGAUAACCAGGAAGCAAAGAAAAUUGUCUACUUGUGGCGGAGCUCAAUUAGAUCAGAUCUAACUCGCAUGAUAGCCGAGCCUGAUGCUUAUCAAAACGGAUGUGUCAGGAGUGACCAUACUGUUGUAAGGAUGAAAGAGCAUGGAACCCUCACAAGCAGAGCUCAGGUUUGUCCGGUCAACAACUGCCUUAAAUUUACCAAGUCAGAGAUGUUUUGCUUUUUGAUUUUCUAUGUUCCGUGACCCAAAAACCUGUAAUCUGACCUUUUUUAAUCAAGCAACCAACAGCUUCUAGAGAGAGUUUUGCACAAGUAAUGAAAAUUGUGAAAAUUGCAGGGAGUUUGAUGCAAUCAUGUGUAGCAAGUCGUCAUCUCAGAGCAAGUGGUCACAAAAGCAGGCAAUGCAAGUGCUGUAAGCUUCAUGGUUGUGUUUUUAUAUUUAGUUAAUUGUCAUCGGCCAUUAAAGAGAUCCAAUGUCAUAAGAUUAAUACUCUAUAUACACACACAAAAAGUAUCAUUUUCUGAUUUCAAAGUUGUGCAUGUAUAUCCCCCUUCUGUUAAUUAUAUGUAUAUCCUCACGAUAAGAUUUUUUAGUGCAGAAUAAGAAUGUAACAAUAAAAUGACAUAUUGUUGUUGAGUAUUACAGUAAUGACCAACCAACCUAAUUUCUAGAACGAAAGUAGUCUUAAACGACUCUUUUGUAGAGGCUUAAGUUUUCAUUUUUUUGGUGACAGGUUAAGGAUCCUAUCCUUCAGUGCACUAAACGCCAGAAGACUCAAGUCGCCUAAAAAGAAUCGGACUAUAUGGCCAUAUAAUUUCUGGUGCUUAUUUCUACUUAUCCCUAUUUCAUGAGCCUAAUAGACUUUUCUACUUCAUAUAUCACUUGAAUCAGUUUUCUACCUUUUUUUGUUGAGCCUUUUUUUUUAGUAUACAUUCUCUCUCAUUUCAUUCAACACUUCUUCUAUCAAGCAUGUAUAUCGAGCAUGUAUGUGUCCAUUUAUAAAAAUAAGCGAUUCAUACCAGGUUCGUGCCUUGCAUGCAGGGCCAUUCCAUACCUUUUGAGGGCUCAGGGGCCAAAAAAGAAAAUGGGCCCUAUUUUUUUUUUGCUUCGCUAAAUUUGAUAAAAUAUAACCUUGUAACAAUGCAAACUCAAAUUUUAGUCAACUUCCGUAAGAAAAUAACUAUAAAAUGAUGAAGUUUAGCGAUAAAGUGUACCGGAUGUAAAAAAAAGAAGAUUAAACAAAUAUUUGAUGACAUUUAUCUGUUAGUGCAUGAUUGAUAGUACCAUUAGUUUAGGUACGGACGUAGUCACUUAGGAUAGAAUAGGCUUACAGGACUGAUAUAUACUAAUAACAAUACAUAAAUUAUAAAAAUUUUGGGCCCUUAAAUUUUUUGGGCCCUGGGCGGUCGCCCUGGUUGCCCUCCCUCUGGGCCGGGCCUGCUUGCAUGGGCACUAAUGCUAGUUAAAACUGAUAUAACAAUCCAGUAUCUAUACACACUUAGCAUCUUUUUGCUCCAAAGCUUUGGCCUUCUUUUUCUGUUCUGCAAACCUACCUUCAAGCAUUGAAACCUUUUCUUCUAGUAAUGAAAUAUUUUCUUCCAAAUAAAUCCUUUUGUUAUUCAGUUGGGUUACAAUAUAUGUGCCUUCCUUCAAUCUCAACAUCGAACCAUUCAAACUAAUCACUGGUAAUUUUUUUUCAUAAUUAAAGAAAAAAUUCAUCACUAAUUCAUUGCUUGCAAUUAAUAAAACCAAAAACUUACUUAUGAUUGACAACAUGUAUUAAAUCUUUGUCUAGUGUUUUUCAAAGACCAAGAACGGUAAAUCUUUGCUUUCUGUCAGCAAAUCACAAAUAUUAUUAUGUGCUGAAAGUUGAGAAGAUCUUACUGAGUUCAUUGACCUGGAGCAAACUUGAGGUGAUUUUGCUGAGUUCAUUGACAUGGAGUUUUCAAAUAUCAGCUUUUUCAGAAGAACAUUAAUAUUUUUAAAUUUUUUGGAUAUAAAUGUUAAAGAAAUUUUAUAUUCGUUAUGUGAUUAAGAACAAGGAUUUGUUCAAAAAGUCUUAUUUUUUUAAACAUUAAUAUUUUUAUAAUUUUUUAGAUAUAAAUGUUAAAGAAGUAUUUUAUAUUCGUUAUUUGAUUAAAAACAAAGACUUAUUUUAAUAAAAGUUGAGUUUUAUGUAUUUUUUCCCUAGAAAUAAACUCUUAUUUUUCUGGAAAAUAGAAUUAGCCAAAAAGCACGCUUAGUUUUGGAAGUUUCGUUGUCUUGCAAUAUGACUUAUAGUCGGUUUGUCCUAGCGGACUUAAAACUGUUUCUGGCCUAUUUAUAUAAUAAGUUAAUUAGUUAUUUUUAUUAAACUGUGUAAUUUUUAAAAAUAAAUAUAUAAUUUAAAUUUUAAAAGUGCUUAUCAAAAAAUUGUAGAAGACUGAUUUUUUUUUUCUUCUUGCACACAAACACCACCUAGAUUAAAGAAAAUGGUCUCACCUGGGGUCAAAGUCAUUUUAAAUGCGUUACCAACAAUACAAAUGCAAAAGACAAGCAGCAUUCUCUUUUUUUAAAGAAACAACGGAGGAGCAGAGUUUCUAAAAACAAGGGCAAGUGCAAGAUGAAGACGAUGAUGAGAACGAGGAGGGCUUUCACUACUGGCCUCACUUCAAACACUCUUCUUCCACUCCCAAGACCUAUACUAUAUUCUCUUUUGGAUGGCUUAUUUCGUACGCGUAGGCUUGAUGAAGCACAAAAGUUUUAUAGGAAGAUGUUAAACCAAGGUGUUAAACUGGAUAUAGUGACAUGCAGGAUCUUGUUGCACGGACUUUGCUGGAAUGGACUUGCUGUAGAAGCAAUGUCCGUGUUGCAUGAGAUGGAGUCAUGUGGCUUAAUUCCUGAUAUACGCAUUUAUAAUAUCUUGAUUCAUGGAUUGUUCAAGGACGGCAAGGUUGAUGAGGCCAGAAGCCUUUUUUAUAAUCUUCGUUUGAAGGGUUUACAGCCUAGUGUCAUAUCUUACAACACUAUGAUCCAAGGAUUCUGUCAAGAGGGGUUGCUGGAAGAAGCAUAUAGCAUACUUUUGGAAAUGGAAGAAAACAAUUGCUUGCCUAAUGAAGUUACAUACAACACUCUUAUCUGUGGAUGCUUUAAGAAUAAGAUGUAUGAUGGAGCUUGUGUACUUAUAGAUGAGAUGUGCAUUCAUGGUUUCAAAGCAGAUGCCUCUACCACCUCCAUGCUAUUGGAUGUGCUGCAACCGAAGGAGCAGAACCCCGCCCUCCUUGCUAUGCAGAAGAAGUUCAUGCCUUGAGUACAUCAAUGAUCGAGUUUAUUAAGGUACAAAAUACUUUUAAAUUGCCGGAACUUUGUAAUAGUUUGCUAAAGAAACUUAAAUCAAUAGCAACUGUGAUAUUGGAGUUGAUAAAAUAUUUAAUUUCAUGAAAUAUUUACUUGGGAAAUGGUGGCCGUGUUGUAUUUGCAUCAUUUUACAAAAUGAGAAGUAUGAUAAAGCAUGCAUUUUUUCUUCGACAAAAUGCUAGAAGCUGGGUUCUCAGCGGAUGCAUACCACCAUUAUAGUUGCAUAAAGGUGUCUUGAGUGCAGCAAAUGUGAAGUACAUCAACAUUUCCAUUUAUUUUGUUGAUAUAUUAGUUCUUAGUAUUAUAUAUUCUGUUCUCUAUCUCUUUAUAAUUCUAAUAUCUCUUCUAAAAUACAGGGAAAUAAUCCAAAAUACUAUCCUCUGUUUCUAAAUUUGUUUUCUGUUUCAAAUAAUAAACUUGUUUUCAUUUUUACUAUGUUCACAAAUUUUUAUAUAAAUUGCCUAAAUUCAUUCGGUAAUACUCUAUGCAACUAAUAAGUAUAAACCCAUCUGUAACUAUUGUUUUAAAAUAUAACACCAUUCUGGAGAUGAUGAGAAAGGCUGUCACUAUAUCCUCUGUCUUACUCUUUACACCAUUUCUAAUUUAUUACUCACUUUCUCAUUUCUUCACUACCUGAUCCUAGUCCCAGUAUUAAAUCCCCCUAUAUUCCUUCUUCAUCUAUACCUCAUUUGCAGCUUCAGCCGUUACUUCAUUAAGAAUAUGAGGUUCGUUUUGGUUAACUAUUCUUGUGUGAUUGACUUCAAUCAACUGUUAUCCGCCAUCGUUAAAACAUAAUCGGAAAGUCUCUAUAUGAAGUUACAAUACUACACUCUUAUCCGUGGCUGCUUUAAGAAUAAGAUGUAUGAUGGAGGUUGUGUGCUGAUAGAUGAUAUUUGUGCUUAUGGUUUUAAAGCAGAUGCCACUACCACCUCCAUGCUAUUCGAUUUGCUGCAUUCAAAAGAGCAGGACCCCGCACUCCUUGCUUUGCAGAGAAGUUCAUGCCUUGAGUACAUCAAGGAGAGAGUGUAUUAUGGUACAAAAUACUUUUAAAAUGCCAGGACUUACUAAUAAUUUGUUACAAACUUUGACGUCAAUAGCAAUUGUGAUAUAGGAGUUGAUAAUAUGUAAUUUUGUUGAAUAUCAGCUUUGCAAAUGGUGUCUGGGUUGUAUUUGCAUUAUUUGACAAAAUGAAAAGAAUGAUAAAGCUUGUGUUUUUUCUUCGACCAAAUGCAGGAAGCUGGGUUCUCUGGAGAUGCAUACCACCAGUAUAUUACAUUACAAGACCUGUACGGAACAAAUUACCUGGACCCUUCUACUCUUGCUUUGCGGUGAAAAUUUUGUCAUGGGUACUGCAAUCUCAUGACGCAAACACUCUGCAGCAUUAUUAUUUACUUGCAUUACAUUGUAAGUUUGUCUUUUAUUUCUGGCAGGCUGCUAAGACUUAACUUAAUUACUGUAGGGCUAACAUGUAGUUGCAUAAUGGUGUCUUGAGUGCAGCAAAUGUGAAGUACACCAACAUUUCCAUUCAUUUAUUGAUGUAUUAGUUAUUUGUAUUAUAUAUUCUAUUCGUUGUCUCUUUGCCAUUUCUUCAUUUCUUCACUACCUGAUCCUAAUCCCAGUAUUCAAAGCCCCCUAUAUUCCUUCAUCUAUACCUCAUUUGCAGCUUCAGCAGUUACUUCAUUAGGAAUAUGAGGUUUGUUUUGAUUAACUAUUCUGUAAUUGACUUCAAUCAACUGUUAUCCGCCAUCUUUAAAACAUAACCAUACACUGUUGCUGUUUCUUUUUACUGAUACUUGUAGUUUCUCCAUUCCAGUUGAUCUAUAUACCAUUAAUACCGUCAUUAAUCAUUGUUGUCAAUUGAAUAGAGUUUAUUAUGCUUUUUCAUGAAGCGUCUUCUUUUGCCAAAUGUUGUUACCUACACCAUUCUCUAUAGGGGGUUAUCUCCCAUGACAAACUUCUGGAGGUUGAGCACUGGUUCGAGAAGCUCAGCAUAAUCAGACUAAUUGAACCUGGUAUUGUUCCAUUAUAGAUAGGUUGCAACAACUCUUGCAAGUUUAAUAAAUUCUUCUCAACGUCUUAUUUUUGUUUCGGGACCUUCCACUCUUGCAUUAUUGAUAGGUUGUAACAAGCUUUGUAAGUUGGCAAGUACCAGAGUGCCACCUCAGGAGCUUACAUGAUUUUCAUGGACCAGCAUAUACUUGUGAUUUAAUCGUCACAAUUGUAUCUUUGACUGAUACAUGGGUUGUGUUAGGCUGCUCCUUAGGAGCUUCAAAAAUCAUCCUUUUUUUUUUCCAAAUUUUAAAUAUGUUAUUUAUAAUACAAGAUAUAUGACCUUGUAUUUAUUAUAUACUAGAAUCACCUUUCACAUGUAUCAGAUAAUAGAAUUUGUAAUAAAACUAAAAAUUUAUAGUGACUUACCACGAAACUCCAUAAAAAACUAUAAAUUAUAUUUAUAUUGAAUUAUUAUAUUUUACUAAUUCUAUGAAAUAUGAAUUAUGUUGAAUAUUAAACUAAGGGAGUUGAAGGUGUAUUCGUCGUGAUUUUAAUAGAUUAAUUUAUGAAUGUUAAUAGAUUGUAUGUGAUUUUGGGCGGAUUCUUAAUAAAAUGUCGUUUAACUAGUAUAGUUUUGUUAGGAUUUAAGCACAAUACUUCAAAAUAUUAUAUAUUUUGGUGGAAUUUCAAAAAGUUCAAAAUAUACCGACCAAUACCACAAAUCCAUCAUUUUAUGAAGUUCAAAAAAAUCUAUCAUAUCUGAAUACCAUCACAUUUCAAUGGAUUUUAAAAAAUCCCAAUUGAAUAGCGUUAGAUUUUAUAGCAUAAUUGAAAAUCCGAUUAAAUAUCACCAUAUAUUGUAGUAUGAUAUAAAAUUCCAAUUGAAUACCACGAAUAAAAAUCUUUAAAAAUCCCAAUUAAAUACACCUGCUAAAUAUAAUUUCGCUUAUUUAUAAACACCCUAAAAUAAUAACUAAGAGCAAGUCUGAUAGGUUAACUAUUUCCUUGUAUAAUACUAUAGAAUAGUGAAUCUUAGAUUUAGAAGAUCUACUUUUAUUUAGAAUAUUUAGAAAUUCUUAUUUUUGUUCCCUAUUAUUAUUUUAACAAUAAAUUUUAGGAAAAGAAGGAAGAAAUGAGAGAAAAGAUAAAAAAAAGAAAUACAUUGUUUAUUCAUAAAUAUUAAAUAUAUAAUGAUUAGAGAUUACCUAAAAUAGUUAAUAAUUAGAAAAUUUGGGAAUGCGCUAAUAAUUUAGAUAAUCAGCAUAUAAUAGUGUUCCAUAUGUUUUUUAUAUGUCAUUUUUGACUUGAGCACACACUUUUAGGUUGGUAAACUGGACAUUAAUUAUUAUUAUUUUUAAUUAAUUUUUUUGUGAAAUAAAAUUUGGAUUACAUAAUUUUUCAUAAAAAAGCAUUCAAAAAUAAUAUUUUUAACUCUUUAGUCAAAACAAUUAAAAAAUAUGUAUCACAAGUUAAAACGUCAUAUAUUAAAAAUAGAGGGAGUAUAAUUGGAGGGGGAGAGCAUUAUUAAAGUCGAAUACAGAAAUGAGAAAGUAAACUUGCGAAAAGGGAAAGUAACUGAGAGAGUGAGGAGGAGGAUGAUGUCGAGAAUGAGGAGGGCUUUCACUGCUUGCUUCAGCUCAAACGCUAUUUGUGACAAGGGCUUUCUUGGUUUCCUGAGACACGGUACUCCUGCUCUUACUACUACUAGUUCUUCUUGUCGUGUUAUUACAUUGCUUCGUUUGCAUUCACUCUCUCAAUCCCCCACUUGCCGUAACCCUAAUCACACACCCAAUCAUCUCUCCGAACUUCAACAAUUAUUGUUGGAGAAAUCUAGAGUUGGUUUUGAUGAGCCUGAUGAUGCUCUUCGAGUGUUUGAUAAAAUGCUCCGUAUGAAACCUCUGCCUAGUGUUAUGGACUUUACUCAACUCUUGACCGCCCUUGUCAAGAUGAAACAUUACUCCGUGGCCGUCUCUGUCUUUUCAAAGAUGUGCUAUUUUAGCAUUCCUGUUAAUAUAGUUACUUAUAGUAUUGUAAUCAACUGUUGUUCCCAUUUGAAACGCGUUGAUUAUGGGUUUGCGCUGUUGGCUGCCAUCUUUAAGCGUGGUUUUGUCCCAGAUGUUGUUACCUACACAACUCUAGUUAGGGGGCUCGUUUCCCAGGACAAGUUUCUCGAGGCUGAGCUUAUGUUCAAGAACCUUCUCGAGCACAAUCAAAUUGAGCCUGAUGCAGUUAUCUUUAACACCAUUAUCAAUGGCCUUUGCAAAACAGGCAACACUUCCCAGGCUAUGAGGUUGCUCAGAUACAUGGAGAAGACACGUUGUAUGCCCUGCGUAGUAACUUAUAGCACUGUUAUUAAUAGUUUGUCCAAAGACAGAUUAGUCGAUGAUGCUUUGGGUCUUCUUGCCGAAAUGAGUGACAAAGGCAUUCAACCAGAUGUUGUAACCUAUAGCUCGUUAAUUCAAGGUCUGUGCAACCUUAACCGAUGGGAUGAUAUAACACAAUUGUUAAAAGAUAUGGACAGACACAAAAUUUCUUCAAACAAGCAUACCUACAGUAUAUUGGUUGAUGCACAUGCGAAAGAUGGAAAGGUCAGAGAUGCUGAGUAUCUGAUAGAGUUAAUGAUUCGAAGAGGCCAAAAUCCUAAUGUAGUCACCUACAGUGCACUUAUGGAUGGAUACUGCUUGAGAGGAGAAUUGGAUAAAGCGUUUGCACUGCUCAGAACCAUGAGAAAUGAGGGGAUUUUGCCCAACGCGAAGACCUAUACCAUAUUGAUCAAUGGUUAUUGUAAGAAGAUGAAAGUAGACACAGCAAUACAUCUCUUAAAAGAAAUGACCCUGAAAGGUUUAACACCUACAAUUGAAACGUACAAUACUAUUCUGGAUGGGUUAUUUCGUGCGCGUAGGCUUGAUGAAGCACAAAAGUUUUAUAGGAAGAUGUUAAACCAAGGUGUUAAACUGGAUAUAGUGACAUGCAGGAUCUUGUUGCACGGACUUUGCUGGAAUGGACUUGCUGGUGAAGCAAUGUCCGUGUUGCAUGAGAUGGAGUCAUGUGGCUUAGUUCCUGAUAUACGCAUUUAUAGUAUUCUGAUUCAUGGAUUGUUCAAGGACGGCAAGGUUGACGAGGCAAGAAACCUUCUUCAUAAUGUUCGUUUGAAGGGUUUACACCCUGAUUUCAUAUCUUACAACAUUAUGAUCCAAGGAUUCUGUCAAGAGGGGUUGCUGGAAGAAGCAUAUAAAAUACUUUUGGAAAUGGAAGAAAACAAUUGCUUGCCUAAUGAAGUUACAUACAACACUCUUAUCCGUGGAUGCUUUAAGAAUAAGAUGUAUGAUGGAGCUUGUGUACUUAUAGAUGAGAUGUGUGCUCAUGGUUUCAAAGCAGAUGCCUCUACCACCUCCAUGCUAUUCGAUUUGUUGCAAUCGAAGGAGCAGGAUCCCGCACUCCUUGCUAUGCAGAAGAAGUUCAUGCCUUGAGUACAUCAAUGAUAGAGUUUAUUAAGGUACAAAAUACUUUUAAAUUGCCAUAACUUUGUAAUAGUUUGCUACAAAAUUUUAAAUCAAUGGCAGUUGUGAUAUUGGAGUUGAUAAAAUAUUUAAUUUUGUUAAAUAUGUACUGGGGAAAUGGUGGCCUUGUUGUAUUUGCAUCAUAUUACAUUUUGAUAAGUAUGAUAAAGCAUGAAAUUUUUCUUCGACAAAAUACUAGAAGCGGGGUUCUCAAUGGAUGCAUACGACCAGUAUAUUACGUGACCUACUUUGAAAAAAUUAGCAAUCUUGCUUUGUGUAAAAAUACUAGAAGCGGGGUUCUCAAUGGUUACGUGACCUACGUGACCAUUAUACGACCCUUCUACUCUUGCUUUGUGUAAAAACUUUGUCAUGGGUACUGCAAUCUGAUGAUGCACACUCUUCCGCAUUAUAAUUUACUUGUAAGUUUGUCUUCUAUUUUUGGCAGUGUGCUAAGAGUUAUUUUAAGUACUGUAUGGGUUACAUGUAGUUGCAUAUAGGUGUCCUGAGUGCUGCAAAUGUGAAGUACACCAACAUUUCCAUUUAUUUUGUUGAUAUAUUAGUCCUUAGUAUUUUAUAUUCUAUUCGUUGUCUCUUUGUAAUUUUAAUAUCUUUUAUAUUCUAUUCGUUGUCUCUUUGUAAUUUUAAUAUCUCUCUAAAAUACAGGGAAAUGAUCCAAAAUACUAUUCUCUGUUUCUAAAUUUGUUUUCAGUUUCAAAUAAAACUUGUUUUCAUUUUUACUAUGUUCACUAAAUUAUAUAAAAUUGCCUAAAUUUGAGUUUGUUUAUUCAGAAAUCCUCUGUGCAACUAAUAAGUAUAAACCUAUCUGCAGCUAUUGUUUUAAAAUAUAAAACCAUUCUGGAGACAAUGAGAAAGGCUGUCACUACAUCCUCGGUGUCUUACUCUUUACACCUUUUCUAAUUUAUUCACUUUCUCAUUUCUUCACUACCUGAUCCUAGUCCCAGUAUUCCAUCCCCAUAUAUUCCUUCUCCAUCUAUACCUCAUUUGCAGCUUCAGCCGUUACUUCAUUAGGAAUAUGAGGUUUGUUUUGAUUAACUAUUCCUGUGUGAUUGAUUUCAAUCAACUGUUAUCCGCCAUCGUAAAAACAUAACAAUACACUGUUGCUGUUUCUUUUUACUGAUACUUGUACUUUCUCCAUUCCAGUUGAUCUAUAUACCAUUAAUAUCGUCAUUAAUUAUUGUUGUCAAUUGAAUAGAGUUUAUUAUGCUUUUUCAUGAGCGUCUUCUUUUGCCAAAUGUUGUUACCUACACCAUUCUCUACAGGGGGUUAUCUCUCAUGACAAACCGCUGGAGGUUGAGCACUGGUUUGAGGAGCUCAGCACAAUCAGACUAAUUAAACCUGGUGUUGUUCCAUUAUUGAUAGUGUUGCAACAAACCUAUUAAUAUGGACCUUCCACUCUUGCAAGCUUAAUAAAUAUCAUCUCAACGUCUUAUUUUUGUUUUGGGCUAGUAACAAGCGCUUGUAAGUUGGCAAAGUACCAGAGUGCCCACCCCAGGAGUUUCCAUGAUUUAAUCGUCACAAUUUUAUCUUUGACUGAUACAGGGGUUGUGCUAGGCUGCCCAUUAGCAGUUUCAGCUUUGGUCGCGAACGCCCCUAUACCCCUGCUUCAUCUAUAGCUAAUUAGCAACUCCAACAGUUACUUUAUAAGCUAUUGAACUUACUUGAAUCACGAGAGCAGGAUCCUGGCGCUCCUUGAAUCAAUUUCACUGUUUCUUAAUCGGAUCAGGGUGUUUAUAUAUUAGUUGUUCCUUGAAUCAACAACUUUAUGAUCAAAUAAUUGCUGGAAGAAGCAUAUAAUAUGCUUUUGGAAUUGAAAGAAAAUAAUUGCUUGCAUGAUGAAAUUACAUACAACACUCUUAUCCACGGAUGUUUUAAGAAUAAGAUUUAUGAUGGAAGUUGUGCGGUUAUAGAUGAGAUGUGGGCUCAUUGUUUUUCUGCAGAUGCCUCUACCACCUCCAUGCUAUACGAUUUGCUGCAAUCAAAAGAGCAGGAACCCGGUCUCCUUGCGUUGCACAAGAAGUUCAUGCCUUGACGACAUCAAGGAAAGAGUUUUGUAAGCUACAAAGUACUUCUAUUUUGUAAUAGUUUGCUACGAAAUUUGAAGUCGAUAGAAAUUUGAAAUUUGAAGUAAACGUUUUGCCCUUAUCUUCGGUGCUGUUAUAUAGAAACUUCUUGAACCCUCAUGCUUAACACUUCACCUAAACAUAAAGUCUAACAUAUCUGUGCUUUUAUUAUCCUGCGACUCUGUGAGACUAUGUAUAAUGCUACAACCAAACAUUAUGAAAAAUUGUUACGACUCAUGAUUCAGUCUUUCAGUAAAGCCCUGAAGUGAAAACAUAUAUUACCCUGAAUAUUGUUGAAAUGAGGUAUGAAAAAUUGUGAUUCUGCAACUGUUCAGAUAAACUGAGUUGUCCACACUGCACAUGUUGACUAGGAUUCUAAUUAGUGAACCUGGAUACAAAAAUUGCAUCCUCUGCACAAUUAAGUCAUCACAAAAUUUCGGAAAAUUUUCAUGAGUAGACAUGAUUUUGUCAUUGAGUUUCGGAAAGUCUCUAUAUGAUUGUGUGUGCUCAACAAUACAAGAAAAUUCCGGCACUGUUUCAGAAAAAAGAGGGGUCUGUCCCUGACAUUGGGUACAUAUGUUACUAAUAAUUGAUUGUUCUGGACCAACACCCAAAAAUGAGAGAGUCUGAAAUGUCUGAUACUCUGCCCCCUGUUCAUUGCCGCUACUAUCAAGGAUAUAUAUUAUUUCGGUGCACCCCGUGACAAUUUCUGGACUAAUGACAGGAAGAAAAGCAGGGAAGCUCCAAAAGACAGCGUCUUGUGACUCAGUUAACUCUGCAAAUAACAGGAGCUACAUUUGCAGCAAAGAAAGACUGAAAUACAUGCAAAGGCAAGUCAAAAGAAGCUGAUUUUCAAAAACUUAAAUGCAGGUACUAUAUGGGAUAUAUAAUGGUGUGAUGUAAGAUCGAUAAGAUGUAUGAUGAGCUGUAAUUUGAUGUUUGUUGGAUGAAGCUAGCUUACAGGAGACAAAACAACAGCUUGGUAACUCUCUUUGCCUUAGCUGUAAUCAUGGCUAGGGUCACUUCUCUUUGCCUUAGCUCAAAUAAUGUACAAAAUGAACUGAAAAUCAUUAAAAAAGAUAUAUAUCAUAUAAGUUCAUCUCUUUUCUAUUUUAUGGCAGCCGAGUAUUGGAGGAUCCAUGUAAUACUAUAUCAUAUAAGUUCUCCUAGUACUCCCGGUGAAAACGGGGCCUUGCGUUGAUCCAAAGAGUCAUAUUACUUGGUUAGUCCGAUUUAACUGCUUUUACGCCUUUUUCGCUAGAGUUUCUAAAUAUUUACCUCGAAACAAAUCAUGAUCUCCAUGUAGAAAAUAUGAUUAGUAAUAUCCAUUUUCCGACAGUAUCUUAGUUGGAGUUUUUGUAGGCAUCUGUGCUUGCCUUAUCCUGCAAGACCAUGAACCAAUGCCGCCAUCCAACAUUAUGGAAAAUGUUAUGACUCGUGAGUCUGUGACCAUGAAGAUGACAGAGUAAGCCAGAACAUAAAGCCUUCAAGUGAAACCAUAUGAUACCAUAAACAGACAUCAAGUCUGAGUAAUCUUGAAAUGAGAUACGAAAAAUGGUGAUUCUGCAGUUUUCAGAGAAACAGAAGCAUGGAUCAUGGUGAAAGACACACUUGUGUCCACACUGUACAUGUUGACCAACAAAGAUUCCUAAUUAGUUAUUCAUCAUUGUUUUUGGCAAUUUCUUACCAACAUUAUGUUAUGUUUAAUCAUAACAUAAUCUUGUAAAACAAGAUUCAUUUUAAUCUCAUUUUAUCUUCGAUUAUAAAUUCUUGUAAAACAAGAUUCAUUUUAAUCAUCAAAUAGAUUUGGCACGUUAUGUUUGGGCAGUUCGGCUUACCCCAAGUGCAAAUCCACUUUUCCGGUCCUAUCGACUAGCAUCCCUAAAGGCUAAACUUAUACUCCAUGCAACUCAUCCGAUUUUUAUCAUUUAGAAUAGAGUGCUCAACAUGCAUGUUAACUCUCACAGAAAAUAGAGAAAUUGACAAAAAUACCUCUUUUUACCAUCUUUAUUGACAAACUACGACUUGCCUCGAAUUAUUGCAAAUAUACGAUUACUUUAUAAUUUUAAUUGUAACAUUUGCAUAAGUACACCGUUUGUUUUUGCUGCAUCAUCAUCUUCAUCUUCUCAUUUUACCAUCUUUACUUCAAAACUACGGCUUGUCUCGAAUCAUUGCAAACAUACGGUUACUUUAUAAUUUUAAUUGUACCAUUUGUAUAAGUACACUGUUUGUUUUUUGCUACGACAUGAUCUUCAUCUGAAAAUCUCUCCCAGCGGUCUCUCUCACUCCAGGAACAACGAGCCACAACCUCACGUCGCCGUGAAAUUCAAUAAACACCAUUCUUGAUUCUCCCCUCUCUCAGGCGUCUCGUCUCUUUCUUUUCUCCUCGCCUUCUUUCUCCCAUUUCUCUUCACACCGCACCAACCUCUGCCUCGAAAACCACGCCUUCCACGUUGUGCAACCCUUCGAUUAUGAGGCCCGGAUCUUCCGGGUUUAAUUAAACGAAUAAACUCAAAAUCCACACCCCGUUCGUCUGAAUUGGUUAUGAUUGUACCGAAGUCGAAAGUCAACCCCCAUCUUCAUCUUAAUUGGUUGAUUUUGGUUCAUUUGGUGAUUGUUUUUAUUUGAUUUUGUGGUUGUUUUUAUGUUAUUGUUAUAGGCCCCGCAGGGGCAUCCAUCUACAACUAGUUGCAACUUAUUAUGCAACUAAAUGUGAUUUUCAAAAGAUUUUUUCAAAAUUGCAUUUGUGGUUGCAUAUAUUGUUGCUAGCAGUUGCAGAUAUUGUUCCAUAUGCAACCUCCGUAUUUUUGAAAAUAUUUUUUGAGUAAUAGUAUUUUUUCAAUUGUGUUAAAGAAUAAUAGUAUUUUUGCAAAAAAUCGUUUAGACUAGGGUAUUUAUGAAAAAAACUCAAAAAAAAAUAUAGUUACAUAACUUAUUUUUAAAUAUUUGUUUUUCUGAAAAAAGAGUUUAAAAUAUUAAAUUUUUAUUCAGACAAAGAAAAUUUUAAAAAUAAAUUAUAGAACUAUAUUUUCAUGAGUUUUAAAAUACGUGUCGAGCACUCCCCUCCAAAGAAUAAGAAUCGGAGGGACGGAGGGAGUAACUUAUAAUUUAACGUGAAUAAAAAUCCCUUUAGCUAAGUUUAUGACUUGAUAUAAUUUAUAACUUAAAGUGAUUUAGAAUCUGUUCAUUGAGUUUAUGACUUAUGUGAGAAACUGAGUUUAAAAUAUUUAUUUAGGUAAUUUUGAUUUGUUAAUAAUUUAUGAGUUAUCAAAAAUAUAAUAAUAAAAAUAAAAGUGAUUUAUUGAUAACUUUUGUCUUAUGAGUAAUAUAUAUUAUUAUUAUUUUUUCAAAAAUUAAGUAACUAAAACAAGUGCCUCAAACUGGCCUUAAGCCGGUUUACGACUUAUUUCUAAAUUUAAAAACGGAUUUAGAUUUGCUCAUAUUAUUAUUUUAAAAUAACCAAGCAAACAACCCUUUCUUAGCUAUGAUUCGAGGGGGAGAGCAUUUUUAAAGACGAAUGGAAAAAAGAGAAAGUAAACUUGCGAAAAGGGAAAGUAAGUGCGAGAGUGAGGAGGAUGAUGUCGAGAAUGAGAAGCGCUUUCACUGCUUGCUUCAGCUCAAACGCUAUUUGUGACAAGGCCUUUCUUGGAUCUCUGAGACCCGGUACUACUGCUCUUACUACUACUAGUUCUUGUCGUGUUAAUAUUGCAUUUCUUCGAUUGCAUUCACUUUCUCAACCCCCCACUUGCGCUAACCCUAAUCACAUACCCAAUCAUCUUACGGAAUUUCAACAAUUACUGUUGGAGAAAUCUAGAGUUGGUUUUGAUAAGCCUGAGGAUGCUCUUAGAUUGUUUGAUAAAAUGCUCCGUAUGAAACCUCUGCCUAGUGUCAUCAACUUUACUCAACUCUUGUCCGCCCUUGUCAAGAUGAAACAUUACUCUGUGGCUGUCUCCGUCUUUUCAAACAUGUGCUCUUUUAGCAUUCCUGUUAAUAUAAUUACUUAUAGUAUUGUAAUCAACUGUUGUUGCCAUUUGAAACGUGUUGAUUAUGGCUUUGCGCUGUUGGCUGCCAUCUUUAAGCGUGGUUUUGUCCCAGAUGUUGUUACCUACACAACUCUUCUUAGGGGUCUCAUUUCCCAGGACAAGUUUCUCGAGGCUGAGCUUAUGUUCUCUUACCUUCUCCAGCACAAUCAGAUUGAGCCUGAUGCAGUUAUCUUUACCACGAUUACUAAUGGCCUCUGCAAAACAGGCAACACCUCCCAGGCUAUGAGGUUGCUUAGAUACAUGGAGAAGAAAGGUUGUAUGCCGGGCCUAGUCACUUACAACACUAUUAUUGAUAGUAUGUCCAAAGACAGAUUAGUCGAUGAUGCUUUGGGUCUUCUUGCUGAAAUGAGUGACAAAGGCAUUCAACCAAGUGUUGUAACCUAUAGCUCUUUAAUUCAUGGCAUGUGCAACCUCAAUCGGUGGGAUGAUAUAACACAAUUGUUAAAAGAUAUGGACAGACACAAAAUUUCUCCAGAUAAGCAUACCUACAGUAUAUUGGUUGAUGCACAUGCCAGAGAUGGAAAGGUCAAAGAUGCUGAGUAUCUGAUUGAGUUAAUGAUUCGAAGAGGCCAAAAUCCUGAUGUAGUCACCUACAGUGCACUUAUGGAUGGAUACUGCUUGAGAGGAGAAUUGGAUAAAGCGUUUGCAGUGCUCAG
rnacentral:lncRNA from 1 species